CCCAAUGUGAACGUUACCAAACUGUUGCCUCGGCGGGAUCUCUGCCCCGGGUGCGUCGCAGCCCCGGACCAAGGCGCCCGCCGGAGGACCAACCUAAAACUCUUUUUGUAUACCCCCUCGCGGGUUUUUUAUAAUCUGAGCCUUCUCGGCGCCUCUCGUAGGCGUUUCGAAAAUGAAUCAAAACUUUCAACAACGGAUCUCUUGGUUCUGGCAUCGAUGAAGAACGCAGCGAAAUGCGAUAAGUAAUGUGAAUUGCAGAAUUCAGUGAAUCAUCGAAUCUUUGAACGCACAUUGCGCCCGCCAGUAUUCUGGCGGGCAUGCCUGUCCGAGCGUCAUUUCAACCCUCGAACCCCUCCGGGGGGUCGGCGUUGGGGAUCGGCCCUCCCUUAGCGGGUGGCCGUCUCCGAAAUACAGUGGCGGUCUCGCCGCAGCCUCUCCUGCGCAGUAGUUUGCACACUCGCAUCGGGAGCGCGGCGCGUCCACAGCCGUUAAACACCCAACUUCUGAAAUGUUGACCUCGGAUCAGGUAGGAAUACCCGCUGAACUUAAGCAUAUCA
rnacentral:rRNA from 1 species